CCAUUCCCUUAUCCCGUUCCCCCUCUUUGAUGUUGAAAGCAUUUUCUAAAAGAACCCAGACGCGACAACAAUUUGACCGACCCAUUCAUCGUCUUCCUCACGCGCACAUCAGAAUGACGAGUGGACGAAAUCACGAUCCAGCAGCAGUGGCGUGCUCGUCCUUCCCCCUCUCUCUCAAACGCGUGAACAGCCUGCUCCAAUGUCUCCUUUUCCCGUUGUUCGUACGAUAGGGUAGGGUGGCCUGCAACUCGUCCUUGCUUGCGUGGAUGGUGACACAUCGAGAACAAGGACGACGAGUUUAAUCCGAGUUGUCCAGCCUACUGAUUCGUCUGAAUUUUCAAGAAUAUGGACGAAUCUCGUGCAAAUUCAGAAGCGAUUUCAAAUUGUGGAAUUGAAGUGAACCCGAUUUUACCCCAAGAUUUUCCAAAAAUCCCUCCCCCCUCCCCAAUCCCGAAAAAAACUAAUCUCCCCCCUAUAUAUAUUCUCUUCGACUUUUCAAGGGGAGGGGAUUUUCUUUUUUUGAGCCGCGAGGUAAAAGGGUGUCGAAAAUUUUGUAAAAGGAAGCUUCAGAAAAUUCCUCUAAAUACCCAUUGCUUACAUAUCUAAAGAAGAAAAAAGAGAUACUGUAGUCUCAGUUUGGAUAAAAGUUUUGCUCCGUUCUUUGAUCAUCGCUCAUAGCUAAGCUUCAGUGGUGAGAAGUUUGCUUUUUGACUCGUUCUGUCCCGUCGCUGCACAACAAGAAGUAAUUUUCUUUCUCCUAUGCAUCAUUAUUUUGUUUCUCGAUUAGGCUAUCGUUUAUUUUGAGCUUAUGAAAAUGUAGCAUUCUGGGUCCAAUUAAUUUCUUCGAGGAGUAGGAUGAGUAUGUAGUUUUGGUUUGUGUUGUUAUGUGUCGUGUUGAAUGCAGCGCCAAAAUUUGAAGUUAUCUGAUUUGGAGACUCAAUAAUGUUGUAUAUAUUCAUCUGUUAGAUGCAACGUUUUGUUUACGUCUCUUAUUUUAUCUAUUUAUUUUAUUUUCUUUCCUCUAAGUUUUUGUGAUCUUGUGAUUAGCAUCUCGUUUUGUUUGAAUAAUUUCAUGCCUUCAUGUCGUUCAGCCGCACCUCACUUGCGGUUUAUAUUUGAUCAUGCGGGUAUAUUGCUCCAUCUUAAGCACCAGCUCCUUCAUUAUUUGACAUUGUUGGUCACUCGCUGUUUAUUUGAAAGGAGCAGAUUUAGGUUUGUUGAGAGUCUAAAAAGUAAAAGUAUGAUUUGUUUUCUUUGGACUGUUCAGCUGUAAUCUGUGUCGCCUCUUGCUGCUUUAAUAAGCUCUAAGGUGUUUAUUCAUGAUCUUCGUGUCUUAGCCAAUUAUCUUCUCGAAUUUUUUAUCUGAUAAGCCAACUUGUAAUGUAGAGUUACAGACUAUGUUAAUAGCUUACCUUCGCAUCCAAGAUCGAUGUUUUUUUAAGUCGUUGAGACGGGGUUAUUGCGAUGUUUUCUUGCCUAUCUUAGACUUUGCAGAGUUCACAGCCCUGACUCUUAGAUUUUGUAUUGUGCAAAUUGAGUCCCUCUAUGAUGCUUUAAUAAAUAGCCUUAUGAUAUUACUUUGUUUCCCUCUCAUGUUACAAGAAAAUUUUUAGAGCUCAUCAUUUAUGUUUAAAUUUGCCCCACGUGUUUAUGAUUUUAGAAAGAAAUUAUGCCGAAACCCACAUUGUAUUAUUGGCUUGCAUUUAUUGUUCUUAUCUGCUGAACUUUCUCGCUUUUAUUUAUUUUGCUCUGUUAAUGUAGCAGUUUUUAUAUCGCUUUGGUUGCCCCUUUAUGAGGGGGGUAUUAAUUUUCAAGACUUCUAUGAUGUGAUUUAAAUGAUCACUCGACAUACUGAUCUUUUCUAAGGUGCGAAUAUCCGAGGUUUUGCUUAUCUUCUUCGUUAUCUAAAUUUUCGGUUGUCUUUCUCUGUAAAAUGCUAAAUAUAGGCAUGGUAUAGUGAUCCCUCUAACUGCCUGUGAUUUAAUUGGUUAGUUCAUGCUUACUCACUUUUCUUAUAAUAUCUAAAAGUUUGUUCGGGCUUAAUCGUUUUCUUAAUGUGUGGAAAUUGGUUCAUUCUUAGGUUGUUUUCCCGUAACAUGCAGUGAGAAAUACCAUAAGGUGGGGUUGUUAAACUUUAUUGGUCUCUAUCUUGUUAAGUGUGGAUCACCUAAUGCCGCUACUUUCAAGUGCAUAGGCUGGCAUCGAUUUUUCUUCACUUUUUAGCGUGAUAUUUGUUAUUUAUUUUAGCAUGUUUCUUUCUUUUCUUACCUGUUAACAAAUGUGCUUAUAUCUUUUGGUGAGGAUGCUGAUUUAUUUUGUUUCGUUAUCAGUAAUGUUAUUUGUUUCAAAUCGAAGUAAUUCUUACAAUGUCUAUGUUUUUUUGUGCAUGCAAAACCUAUUCGACUUCAUCAUGAACUCUUCUUCCCUUGCAUUUUCGAGGAGCCACGAAGGUUCAAUUCCCUCCUAUCGAGUCAAACCCAUUAAAAUCGACGUACAGGUCCCGAGUUGAAAGGAUUCAAAAAUCAAGAAGUCGAAGAUAUGAAGAAGUUGGGCCAAAGGAGGCCCACUUCAUCUAUUCUUUCAUAUUUUUAUUUUGUUGUUUUUUGGUCCUAAGCCCUUGUCUUCUUUUAUUUCUUAUAUUAUUUAUUUAUUAUUAUAUGUUUAGCUUAGGACAGGUAGAAAUGGGUCAAAAACCGAAAAACAGGUGAGUCCAAAAUUCCAGUCAAGGCGGACAAAAAACCCAGAUUUGGACCCAACUCUCUUUUUCUCUCUCUCCCUCUUUCCCUCUUUUACUUUAUUUGCUUAUCUGUUUUUAUUUGUCGUUAGUUUAAAAUUAGAAAACUCUAAAUCCCCGUAGAAUGCCAUAAUAUUUUAGUAAUUUAAAAUUGGACUGAGUUUAAAUAGUUUUAAAAUAAUUUUUCAAUUUAUAAGUAAGAACCAAGAGAUUCACUUUCAAGCAAUUCCAAUAAAUUUUAUAAGUGAAGUUUUAGCCAAAUUAAAUUAGUUGUCGGAUAACCGCAAGUAAGCGGAUGUCUUAGGUGCUUUCAAAACCCUCCUAAGACGUUAAUAUGAAUCCUCGAACCCCUUUAAAGUUUUCAAAUGAUUUUCUUUGUUUAAGUCUUUUGGAAACAAGGUUUUUCUUGGUUUUUCUAAAAAAUUAAGUGGCGACUCCUAGAAGUAAAAAAUUUACAAAAAUAAUAUUUUUCAAUAAAACAUUAGCUUUAUCAGUUGAUUUUUGGGAGUGUAGCUCAUAUUUUGGCCUCCCUAUAUAAUUUUCUUUUUCACUGUUAGGGGUUGGAAAAAGUUGACUGUAUUUUUGCCUCCCUAUAUAGCCUCCCUAUUAUUGAGUUUUUCAAAUUCUGAUUGCUGAAUGAUUGCCAAACUUGCCUGAAUUGCAUUUUGACUGUGCUUUUGCGCUAGAUUAAUUGAUAUGUUAGUCAGAUGGACCUCCUUGUCUAUAGAAUAGGUCCAUUUAACUGCGCCGCCAUCAAUUUCCAUAAAAGCAUUUACUAUCAAUUUCCAUCAACUUCUGCUAACCUGUUGUAUGUUUUAUCUAAUGAAUAUUUUUCUAAUAAAUCUAUGAGUAGAAAAAAAAACAUGCAUUAUAUUUAAUUAUUCUGUUGAGAUUAAGAAUGUAGAAUUACUUCAAAAAUUCGAUAAAAAACAGGACAAGUAUCAAUACAAUGAUAUUGUUUUAGACAAAUUUCUCGAUGAAGAGCAGAAGAACUUCUCGUUGACGAGCACGAUUUCUGUUGUAGCUUGUUUUACUACUGCUUAUUAGGUAAGGACACAAUAUUUUUCUAUCAUUUAUCCUUACUAACAUGUUCUUAUAGUUAUACAAUUGUUCGGAUAUGUUCAAGAUCACAAGUUUUAAGAAUACUUAUGGUGUACUAAUUACCUACAGAUAAAAUAAAAUAUAUUUAUUUAAUUAACUUCUGGUGUAUUAAUUAUUUUUUCCUUAGAAGUAUCAUCAACAUUUAUAAACAUUUGUUGAGGAUUCAAGAUCUGAUUUGACAUAGAAAAAGUGUCAUGACUAGGUAAGAAACUUUUAUCAUCUCAUAACACAUGAUUCUAACAACUUACUCCGUUACUCGUGAUUUUUAAAACUUAUUUGUGAAGUAGUUUAUGAUUGUUACUCAAAGAUAAAAUAUGAUAUCUUCUUUUAGGAAUUCAUAUAUCUCGUCCAAGGAUUGGAUGAAUUUAGCAAGGUAUAGUAAAGAGUAUAUCGAUGGCAUUGAAUCAUUUCUAGAUUUCGCUUACUCUUAUGGAGAUCCUAAGGAGAGGAAAUUUAGUGUCCAUGUGCAAAAUGUUGUAAUAUUCGUUGGACUCGAAGGAAUGAAGUGUAUGAUCAUCUUAUAUGCUAUGGAUUCGUUAAAAGCUAUACACAAUGGAUCAAUCACGGGGAAUGGGAUAUCAAGUUGAAUGUUGACGAUGAUAUGGAUUACUCGGGUGAUGAUAUUGAUGGGGUUGUUGAAUGAUCAAUUUAGAGAUGUUGCAUAGGCUGAAGGAGUUUAUGAUGGUCCAAAUGAAGAUGCCAAGAAAUUCUAAAACUUAGUUGAAGAGGCAAGCCAAGAAUUAUAUCCUGGUUGUACAGGAUUCUCUAAAUUAUCAUUAAGACUUCGUUUAUAUUUGUUGAAGUGUCUACAUGGAUGGAGCAAUUCAGAAUGAGAUAGUACUUACAAUUCAUCAUGGAUGCCAAUUUUAUUCAAAAGGAUGAACUUUAGAAUCGCCAAAAUUCUGGGGAAAUAGCUAAUGAGGCAUUUAGGACAGUGUUUAGAAAGGAGCAGCCUGGUCGACUAAGGUGCUAUGGUAGAUCAUUUACAACAAGUUCUUUGAAUAAAGAUGAGAAAAUUAACAAUCUAAAACAAAAGAAUGCCAAUGAAAUCACUUCUCUAAAGGAAGAAUUGAGGGAAGAAAUGCAACAUUUAUUCACUCAAUUGUUGCAAAACAACCCCGGAUUGAAUUUUCAUGACAUACCAACGUGUGUUGGAUCUAACCCUGUUUCACCUAUUGAUUCAAGUAGCGCACAAGCUGUAAGAGGCACAAAUAUUCCAGAUUCUUCGGGGUCAGCUCAUGAUUCAGUUCUUCAAAAGGAAAAUAUCGGUAAUUGAAUUUGAAUUUUGGCCAAAAGUAAACUCGAUCUAUUCUAGUGAAUGAUGAAGAGUUUUUGUACUAUUGUUAUAUACGUUUGAAUGACACAUUUGUUUUUUGGGAAUUUAUUGACAUUAAAGAUCUUUAAGCAA